GAGACAUAGGUAAACACAUUGGGACAUGGAGACACUAGGGACACAGUGUCUCCAUGUCUCCCAGUGUCCCCUAGUCUUCCAGUGUCUGUGUCCCAAUGUCUCCCAGUGUCCCCAAAUGUCAGUGUCCACAUGUCUCCCAGCCAGUGUCUCAGUGUCCCUGUCUUCCAGUGUCUUUAUGUCUCCCAUCCAGUAUCCCUAGGGUCUCCCGGGGACUGUGUCCCCAAAUGUCUCAGUGUCCCCAUAUUUCUGUCCACAAGUGCCCCCAUGUCUCCCAGUGUUCCCAAGUGUCUGUGUCCCCAUGCCUCCCAGCGACUCCCUAGUGUCUGUGUCCCCAUGCCUCCCAGGGUCUCCCUAGUGUCUCAGUGUCCUCAUGUCUCCCAGUGUCUGUGUUCCCAUGUCUCUCAGUGUCCCUAGUGUCUUAGUUUCCCCAAAUGUCUGUGUCCAAAUGUCUCCCAGUGUCUGAGUCCCCAUGUCUCUGUGUCCCUAGUGUCUGUGACCCCAUUUCUCCCAGUAUCUCCAAAUGUCUCAAUGUCCCGAUGUCUCCCACUGUCUCCAUGUCUCUGUGUACCCAUGUCUGUAUCCACAAGUGCCCCCAUGUCUCCCCAUGACUCACUGUGUCCCCUAGUAUCCUAGUG